CAAUAGCGUAUAUUAAAGUUGUUGCGGUUAAAAGCUCGUAGUUGGAUUUCUGCCGAGGACGACCGGUCCGCCCUCUGGGUGAGCAUCUGGGACGGCCUGGGCAUCCUCUUGGGGAACGUAGCUGCACUUGACUGUGUGGUGCGGUAUCCAGGACUUUUACUUUGAGGAAAUUAGAGUGUUCACGGCAGGCAAUCGCCCUGAAUACAUUAGCAUGGAAUAAUAAUAUAGGACUUCGGCCCUAUUUUGUUGGUUUCUAGAGCUGAAGUAAUGAUUAAUAGGGACACUUGGGGGCAUUCGUAUUAUCACGUCAGAGGUGGAAUUCUUGGAUUGUGUUACGACGAACUACUGCGAAAGCAUUUGCCAAGGAUGUUUUCAUUGAUCAAGAACGAAAGAUAGGGGAUCGAAGAUGAUCAGAUACCAU
rnacentral:rRNA from 1 species